AUUGAACGCUGGCGGCAUGCUUUACACAUGCAAGUCGAACGGUAACAGGUAAGCUGACGAGUGGCGAACGGGUGAGUAAUGCAUCGGAACGUGCCCGAUCGUGGGGGAUAACGCAGCGAAAGCUGCGCUAAUACCGCAUACGAUCUGAGGAUGAAAGCGGGGGACCGUAAGGCCUCGCGCGAUCGGAGCGGCCGAUGUCAGAUUAGGUAGUUGGUGGGGUAAAGGCUCACCAAGCCGACGAUCUGUAGCUGGUCUGAGAGGACGACCAGCCACACCGGGACUGAGACACGGCCCAGACUCCUACGGGAGGCAGCAGUGGGGAAUUUUGGACAAUGGGCGCAAGCCUGAUCCAGCAAUGCCGCAUGCAGGAAGAAGGCCUUCGGGUUGUAAACUGCUUUUGUACGGAGCGAAAAGGCUCUCUCUAAUACAGGGGGCUCAUGACGGUACCGUAAGAAUAAGCACCGGCUAACUACGUGCCAGCAGCCGCCGUAA
rnacentral:rRNA from 1 species